UCCGGUCCGGUCCGGUAAUGUAAUAGGACCGGGACCAAACCGAGUUGACUGUAUCGGUUCGGUUUCGGUUCCAUGGACCGAAAUUUGGUGAAUGUAACCGGACCGAACCGGACCAAAUACAAUCGGUCCGGUUUCGGUCCGAACUCGGUCCUGGGCUUUUUCUUUGGGCCUUUAGUCCACUACAUCAUAUUGCAGCAAGGAAAAUAUAAAAAGUACUUCUGGCAUAGAAAUUGCUCCAAAUACAUAGAAGUUUAAAAGAUAAUCAAUUUGGAGUUUAAAGUUUCUCCGAAUACAUAGAAGUUGCUCCAAAUACAUAACAAAAAAUUCUUAAAAGUACAAACAAGCGUGACAAGUCCAAAGUUCCUUCAAAACAACAAGCGCGACAAUGAUCAAAUUGCAAAAAAACACUUGCAUAUAACCUUCGAGCCACCAAACUUUCGUGAUAUAAAGUCCAAACCUCUUUUGAAACCUGCCAAAAAGAAUCACAUGAUGGAGUUACAAAGGGAUUGAAUGAAUAAAAAAAAAGGGAACACAUUUUGGGGAAAUUUGUUGAGUGAAUCACAUCUGCUGGACGUCCUUUUGAAUGUACUUCAUUACAACAAUGUAAAGAUCUAAGAAGCAUUCCAAUUACUUAUGCUAGAAGCUAGAAACUGUUAUUAUCUGACUUUCUACUCAAAAUUGAAUAAUAUUUUAUGUUUGAUUAACUAAUUAAGAAAUUAAAUUCAAGAUUUAGAAAUGGUACUUACUGUUUACAGGCUGCACUGUAGGCUGCGAAGCAGGCCGAUUAGUAAGACACCUUCUAUCGCUUGGACCAUCAAAACAAAAGCACUUAGGCUGGGCAGUAUCCCUAUCAUAUCCACAAGCACCACCAGAAUCCUCACAUUCCUUGCACAAUGAGGCAUCCACAGCAUACAACACAUCAAAACCCUCAUUCAAAAUGUUUCCCAGAUUAAAUUGAGAACCAAGGCCAACAACAGUUUGGUGAACAGUCACCGUGACAUUAAGGUUACAUAUUGAUAGUUCUGGAUGAAAUUCACCCAUAGAAUCAAGCCAAAAGUAAUUCUCAUUUGUAUUAUUAACAGAGCAAACAUAGAAUAGGAAUUCCAAAUUUCCAAUACGGCUCAAUGAAAUCAAGUUAUACAUUUCAAAAGGAAUUUCAAUCAUCAAAAUUCUCAAAUUCAACGCUUUUGAAAAAUCAAGGGGUCAAGGUUAAGGUUAAGGUUCUAGUAAAACUCAUCGUACGAGUUGAGAUGGUAUAACCAUAACUCUGCGAGUAGGAAAUGCAAGGCAAAGGUUGAUCAAUAUCUGACAGGAAGCAGUCAGAGUAAUGAACUUGUGAGGAAUGGUAUUCUACCAAACUAUUAGCUAUCAAUGGACUGUAAUCUAUUGUUAAGGCUUAGAAAAUGUUGCAAAACCUUUUAUUAUAUCUUCAGAUGGCAAUGAUACUGCUUACAACAAUAAUUAUACUACACAGCAUAAUUAUAUCUUAAAUGAUGCUAUUUUUUAGAUAAAAAUUAAAUGAACUAACCUCUUUAACAGUAAGUUGCAGGGGCAGUUUUCUUCAAAGACGAUGUGUUCGCAAAAUCUGAAAAAAUCAAAUGAAGUAUAAACAAACCAAUGUAUAUCAAAAAAUCAAACACAAAAGCAUAAAAACAGACUAAUUAGCAAUAUUAAACAAACCUGAUUCAAGUUCUUCAUAAAACUCCAUUUCUUCGAUAGUUGGUGCAAACUGUAAAGAUGCAAUAUCUCCGGCCUUCAACCAAUUUUGACAACAAAUUAAUGCUUCCACCAUCUUUGGAGUCAAAGAAGCCCUAAAUGCAUUGACUAUCCUUCCUCCGGUGCUAAAACAUGCUUCUGAAGCUACAGUCGAGACAGGUAUGGCUAGAAUGUCUUUGACAAUUGUUGCUAAACAUGGGUACUUAACUCCAUUAUGCUUCCACCAACACAAAAUAUCAAAGUCAUUGUUAGUCUUUGUAAGCUCAAGAGGAUCCUCUAGAUACCUAUCCACUUCAUGCUCUAAGACAACAACAUUGGUUGCCGCGGCCUCUUCCAUCCAACUUCUAGUCAUUGCUUCUCUUUGCCUUCCUCCCUUAGGCUCUCUAGAUGUACUAGUCAUACUAGAUACACUAGUAGUACCCAUGACAUCACGUGCACUAGAACCACUAGUAUCACUCGUAGGAAUGGCAUACUCCUCAUAAAGUUUAACUAAGAUGGUUUUGAUGUCAUUUGUUUUCUUGGCGGCUGAAGUUUUGUCCAUGUAACAAAACUUUUCCAACACAUGAGCCAAAUUAUUCGUCUUGUAUCUUGGAUCUAAUACAAGUGCAACCAUCAAGAGUUGAUUUAUUUUGUCCAAGUCUCCCCAAUACUUGACAAACUUCACUCUCAUCGCUUCGGACAUUUCCAUUAACACCUUUCUAGCCUUUGCCUCAUCCGAAUCCUUGUUAUAUUCACCAUCCAACCACAUAUCAUCUUCAUUCCCACAUAAUGCAUUUAUUUCCCCCUCAAUGGAAAUCAAGUCAUGAAAAGCUUCAUGCACCGAUGGAUUUAAGGUCAAUGACAUUUUAAGGGUCAUGUCAUAGAAAACCUUUAGAAAACUUACAAAAAUGGCUGCAUUGCGCCAAUCACAAGACUUUGGUGGUCCUACCCUCUUCCUAGAUUUCUUAGGUGCUCCCACAUGUGCUUCCUCAUGUUCUCCAUCAUCUUCCUCUUCUUCAUCUUCACCAAACCAUGCCAAAUAACUAGGGCUUUCAUCCUCCUCCUCCAAUCUAGCAAAAGCUUGUUCAAACUUUAAAGCCGCACUCAACAUCAAAUAAGUGGAAUUCCACCUAGUUGGGACAUCCAACACUACAAGCCCCUUGCACUCAAUCUUCUCUUUAGCCACACAAGUCUUGAAGUACUCCAACCUUUGAGGUGAGGAUCUCACAAACUUAACCGCAUUCCGAAUAGCUAAAAUGGACUUAUCCAAUUUUUUCAAUCCCUCCUUCACAAUCAAGUUAACAAUGUGAGCACAACACCUCACAUGCAUGUACCUCCCUCCGAGCAACAUCUUUGCAUGUGUCCAAAACUUCAUUUUAUUCCUUAUAUAAUCAAUUGCAACCGUGUUUGUAGUUGCAUUAUCAGCUGAGAUAGUUAACACAUUCUCUACACCCCAAUCUAGUAAACAUUGCUCAAGAAUUUUGCCUAUUGAGUUUCCUUUGUGAUUAGGUAUGACACAAAAAUUGAGGACUAUCUUGUGAAGCGUCCACUCAUCAUCAAUAAAGUGAGCAGUAAUCACCAUGUAGUUGAUAUUCUGACAACUUGUCCAAGUAUCCGUUGUGAGACACACUCUACGUGAGGCUAAGUCUUUUUUUAACUUCAAUCUCAUCUCUUGAUACAUGGUCAAGAAAUGCCUCACAAGUGUCCUACGAGAUGGCACAUGAAAAUGAGAGCAUGCAACCUCACAAAACCUUCUAAAGCCCCUACCUUCAACAAAACUGAACGGCAACUCAUCAAUUAUUACCAUUUCAACACAAGAGGUUAGACAAUCAGCUUGUGUUGCUCCUCUACUCACUACCUGUCCACUUCUAUCCAAAGAGAGCUUUGUUUGACCUUUAUCAGGUAUUCUUCCAGGAAAUUUCGGACAAACUUUCACGUGUUUGUUCAUUUGUGAGGUGCCAUUAGUGCCGGAAUCAGUGAAAUAUUCUUGCGGACAAUACUUGCACUUAGACUUUUUCCUUGCUCUUGUGUUUUUAGUCUCAUCCUUGUUGGUGUUAUUUUUGUCAUCAACCAUUACAUCAAAUUCAUCAAAGUGUUGCCAUACUUCGGACCAUUUCCUCUUUGCUUUAGUCUUCUCGAAAGCAGAUGGAGGUAAGGGUGGCAAACUACUUGGUACUGUUGUUGGUUCAGGUGUUUGUGGUAGAGAAGGUGAUGGAGAAGGUGAUGUUGCACUUGCAGAUGAGGUGGUAGAAGCCCAUCCACUUGGCAUGUUUGGGCAAUCCAUCUACGGAACAAUAAAACAUACAAUUUAGCAACAGAACAAUAAAAACAUACAAUUUAGCAAUAAACAAUAACCAUAGUAGUUAACUAGAGUAAACAACUCCUAAGUCCUAAUCAUAUACAUGACCAAAUUGUAUAAGUCAAUGUCCACUCCAUGAUUCCUUACAAUGAAUUGAAACUCUUGUUCUUUAUUCACCUUAGCUUUGUUAUAAAGAAACAAAGACUAAUUGAGGAAGAAGAACUAUGUUUAACUUAACUCAAACAGAGUAUAUAAACAUGACAUAUAAUCAAUACAUGAAGACUCCAAAGACUGGACAAGGUACCAAUACAUUAACACCCAACUAAUUAUUAAUUACUAAUUAUUAAAUUGAGGUUUCAUUUCAUGUUAACUUCUUUCCACCGCUAACUUAAGAAAUCAUGCAACUAUCUACUACAAUAGUAAUGACAACGCUUAUAAGUUAUAUGAGAAACAUACUAGUGUAAGAUACAAAAACAUUACUUAAUCCAAGAAACACCUCACCAUAUAUCUACAUUAUAGUAAAAGUUCAAGCUGGCACAAACAAGCAGAAAUCCUACAAGAUAGGAAGAUGAAUCAAACAAAAAAAGUUUAACUUUAUGUUUCAUCUUGUACUAUUCUCAACAUGUUAACCCAUAUCAGCAGUAGGUCACCAAAUUUCAAAACUAAUGAAACUUCACAGGAUCAAGAAUAAGAUAAUAUGGCAGAAUAUUUGGAUCAGAUAGGAGAUAUUCCAUGAUUAGGUAAACGUUACUCCUUAAAGAAAGCUGAAUUUGGACGAAUACUAAAUCCAUUUUAAUUAUUGUUUCAGGACGUUUACAAAUCUUAAACAAGUCUAUCAUACCUCAGAACAACCAUUGUAUCAGUUUAUGAGUGUCUGACAUGUGUCUCUGUGUGCCGGACACAUGUGUCAAGUGUCAGUGUAUUCGACACUGACCAGAAUACCUAAGUCUGCAACGAAGUUGCCACGAGUCACAAAUUUACUUUCUUUCUCUCCCAUUUACAAUUUUAGAUUUUUUUAUUUAUUUAUUUCCAGCAAUAACGAUUGCAAAUUUUGUGAUUUAGAACUGUGUUUCUACAUCUGGAAGCAUCUACUUCCCCUAUAUUACAUGCCCCAAAAUGUAAAUACAUUCCUAAGUCUUUCAGUAGCAGAAUUUCACAUAUAAUAAUGUCUAAGUCAAUCUAUGUAUAAAAAAAAAAAAACAGGACAAUCAUCGAUGGCUCACAUGCAUAAUGAGAGAAAAUAUUGGAUAAUAAUUCAAGACUAUUUCUAGUAGUAUGUAAAUUUUCAUGGCAUGAAUGAUGAUGAGUAAAUGAGUUCACUACAAUCCAUUGCUAGGUUUGAUAAGAACACAUUGCUAGUUUCAACACUUUUAAGAAUCAUUUGCUUGAUCCAUCAUAUACUAAGAUAAACUACAAACUUUUCAAAGAAUAAAAUAUCCGAAUCUGUCUGGGAUAGAAACUGAGAUGGAAAAUCCCUAAUUUCUUCUCCAAUAUAAGAGAGGAACUAGAACAGAAACUCCCAUCAUUUCUAUCCUUCAAACCAAUUCGAAAGACGGGUAAUGUGCAAAACACAUACCCAUCUCUUAUUCUAUGCCUCUGUCUGGACCAAAUGUGGUCUCUAAACUUCCACAAUUCGGUAAUUUUGAGGCAAUCUUAAUUUCAUCAAAAAAAAAAAGAAACAAAAACAAAUGUUCAAGGUCGUUUGAAAGACAAUUAGAAGUAUUUUUAAUAUCUAAAAAUCAUCUCAAACAACCUAAGAGGAUCUCGAAAUCAAAAUCAAUGAAAUUGAAGUUGAAAAAGAAAUCUAUUAAUCUUUGCCUCAUAACUAAGCCAUAUGAUAUGGAUUGUUUGGUAGAAAAACUCCACCAAUAACAAUAAAACUCGUAUGGCUACUCAAAGAGGCAGAUUCAAUUUAAUCUAAUCUAAUCUAACAGAAAAAAAAUAAAAAAAUUUAGAAACUACUAAACAUUAACAGAAGCAAAAGAACAUAAACUCUUUAACAGAAACAAAUCUAAACUCAUCAAAUCAAUCAAUCAAACUACACAUAUUGAAAUCGAAAACUCUAAUUAAGGUUUCAUGAAUACCUUUCGAAUCGAAAACUCUAAUCGAUUUCUCUACCACGACGACGAACGAAUUGUUUUCGGUUUUCGUAUUGUAUUAACUAUUUCGAUCGAACGAGGAAGAGGAACGAGGAAGUGGCGGUGGUGGUGGAGAAGAGGACUGAAGGAGGCGGAAUGGAGAAGAGGACUGAAGGAGGCGGGACUGAAUGAAGUUUUAGGUUUAGUAUUUACUAUGUCUAGUUUAGUAAUUUCCUAUUAAAAAAAAUAUUUUUUAUUUAUUUCGGUUCGGUUCGGUUUUCUCGGUUCUAUAAAAACCAGAACCAAGACCGGACCAAUAGCUAUAUAGUUCGGUUCAGUUUCGGUCCAGUCUUGACCGGUUUUCAGUCAACUCGGUUUUGACCGGUUUUAACUCGGUUUUUUCGGUUCGGUUUUCGGUUUUUCGGUUUUUUUGCCCACCCCUAGAAGUCAAUUAACUCAUAAGCAAUUUGUCAGACAACUCAUUUCAAAUUAUUUGGGAUAACUC
rnacentral:lncRNA from 1 species